rnacentral:rRNA from 1 species
GAAUGCGUCUCGGUCAAAGCUCAUCCUUGUGGUGUGGCUGGACUGGCGUUUCCUAUCUUCCGAUAGUGGGGUCAAACUCGCUUCGGAUCGUUUACUUUGAAAAAAUUAGAGUGUUCAAAGCAGGCAUUUGCUCGGAUACAUUAGCAUGGAAUAAUGGAAUAGGACGUCGAUCCUAUUUUGUUGGUUUCUAGGACCGCCGUA